rnacentral:misc_RNA from 1 species
GAUGAAGAACGUAGUGAAAUGCGAUACUUGGUGUGAAUUGCAGAAUCCCGUGAACCAUCGAGUCUUUGAACGCAAGUUGCGCCUCAAGCCAUUAGGUUGAGGGCACGUCUGCCUGGGCGUCACAUAUCGUUGCCUGAUGCCAGUUUCCUCGUGAUGGGUGACUGUGCAGGGCGAAUGAUGGCUUCCCGUGAGCAUUGUUGCCUCAUGGUUGGUUGAAAAUUGAGUCCUUGGUAGGGAGCGCCGUGAUAGAUGGUGGUUGAGUGACGAACGAGACCCAAUCAUGUGCAUGCUCCCCAAAAUAUGGCCUCUGUGACCCACACGCGUCUUUUGACGCUCAUGACGAGACCUCAGGUCAGGCGGGGCUACCCGCUGAAUUUAAGCAUAUCAAUAAGCGGAGGA